UGGCGGAGAAAAUAUUACAAUUGUUAUUAAUAAAUACUAUUUUUGAGCAGACAAACUAUAGAAGUAUUUUUCAUCGGUUGAACAUUUUUAUAAUAUGACAAUCUAUUCUUUUGUGUUCUUUUGGUUCAUGGAGAACCACAUCCAACCCCGCACAUACACAUGCUUUAUAAAAAAAAAAAAUUGUCAAGUUCGCUCACACAUUUAUAAUCUAAUCCUCGCCGAGUCGCCGGACGGCUGCCAGAAAUACCACCUCUACUGCUCACCAUCGCUACUCAUAUACAUGUGUGCGCCACUGUAGCAUAGCAGUGGAAGCAACGUAGAUUGUUUUUAUUCAUUAUCUUGUUAAAAAAAAAAAGUUGUAGUGUUGUGCCCUAGUAUAUAAGGCAAUGGAAAAUCAUAUCAAUAAACAAAGAAAAUAAUAAAAAAAGCCAUAUUGUGCCCAGGGCUAAUAUUAAAACACUCAGAAUAAAUGAAUUCUGUUUGGAUAAAUUUGUGGUUCAGCAAAAUGGCAGCAGCCGACUCACCAACGGACGACAGUCUUUAUCCAAUUGCAGUUCUGAUCGAUGACUUAUAAAAUGAAAAUUUACAACUGCGAUUAAAUUCAAUCAAAAAACUUUCAACGAUUGCCUUGGCACUUUGUGCUGAACAUACUCGUUGUGAGUUGAUACAUUUUGUUCCAUUGGUACAACGUUUGGCAUCUGGUGAUUGGUUUACGUCAAGAACAUCGACAUGUGGUUUAAUAAGUGUAUCUUAUCCACGUGUAAGUACAGCAACAAUAGCUGAAUUAAGAAAUCAUUUUUGUAAUUUAUGUCAAUUGACAUCUUAAGAUGAUACACUAAUGGGGCGACGUUCAGCAUCAUCGAAAUUGGGAGAAUUUGCGAAAGUUGUUAAAAUUGAGUAUUUAAAAUCUGAUUCAAUUCUAAUGUUUGUUAUACUUGCACGAGAUGAACAAGAUUCUGUUCGUUUAUUAGCUGUUGAUGCAUGUGUUAGUAUAUUGCAACAUUAUUACAACGAGAAGAUGUUGAACAACGUGUUAUGCCAAAAUUACGUCAAUGUGCUGCUGAUUUAUCAUGGCGUGUACAUUAUAUGAUUGAUGAUAAAUUUAUAGAUCUUGGAAAAGCAGUUAAUUAUAAACGUACCACAUUCCGAAAAUAUAAUUUUAGUUUUUCUGAGUCAUUAAAUGUGAUGGUUAGUUUAAAUAAAUAUAUUUGAUAAAAUUGAUGAACAUA
rnacentral:lncRNA from 1 species